UAGAAGUCAGGUCGGAUUAAGCCAUAGUACGGAAAAAACUAUGCUACCUGUGAGCCCCGUCCAAGGACGUUAAAAGAAGUCAGGCCAUCAUAAAUGCCAUAGCUUGAGUAAACUAUGCUGCCUGUAGCUCCACCUGAGAAGGUGUAAAAAAUCUGGGAGGCCACAAACCAUGGAAGCUGUACGCAUGG
rnacentral:lncRNA from 1 species